rnacentral:lncRNA from 1 species
AACCCACAACUCACAUAAAUCACCCUGCUAUGCGUAUAACCGACAUGUAAUGCGGCUAAUAUUCAACUAUACACAAACCAUUUCGAGUCCAAUUUAAUACACUCAAUAUCAAGCUCAAUUACAUUAAAUUUCUAAGCACUUUUUGUUCAAUCAUUCAAUUUAAAUCCAAAACUAAAAAGAUUACAAUCGUCAUUCUAAACUCAUAAUGUAAUCCUACAUCAGUCCAAUGCCACGAACCAAUCUCUUUGAAUUCAAACCCCAAAGCAGCUUCAUUGGCAUUCCAAUU